UUAAAGGAAUUGACGGGGCCCGCACAAGCGGCGGAGCAUGCGGAUUAAUUCGAUGCAACGCGAAGAACCUUACCAAGGCUUGACAUACACCGGUAACGCCCAGAGAUGGGUGCCCCUUUGUGGUCGGUGGACAGGUGGUGCAUGGUUGUCGUCAGCUCGUGUCGUGAGAUGUCGGGUUAAGUCCCGCAACGAGCGCAACCCUUAUCCCCAGUUGCCAUCAGGUAAAGCUGGGAACUCUGGGGAGACUGCCGGUGAUAAACCGGAGGAAGGCGGGGAUGACGUCAAGUCCUCAUGGCCCUUACAUCCCGGGCUACACACGUGCUACAAUGGCAGGUACAGAGGGCUGCGAAGCCGCGAGGUGGAGCGAAUCCCAGAAAACCUGUCUCAGUCCGGAUUGAAGUCUGCAACUCGACUUCAUGAAGGCGGAAUCGCUAGUAACCGCGAAUCAGCAGGUCGCGGUGAAUACGUUCCCGGGCCUU
rnacentral:rRNA from 1 species